rnacentral:rRNA from 1 species
GAUCUUGACAUCCAAUUGACCAUCUUUAAUCGAGAUUUUGCCUUCGGGUACAAUUGAGACAGGUGGUGCAUGGUUGUCGUCAGCUCGUGUCGUGAGAUGUUGGGUUAAGUCCCGCAACGAGCGCAACCUUGUGUUUAGUUGCAAACAGGUCAAGCUGUGCACUCUAGACAGACUGCCGUGGACAACACGGAGGAAGGUGGGGAUGACGUCAAAUCAUCAUGCCCCUUAUGAUCUGGGCUACACACGUGCUACAAUGGCCGGUACAACGGGCAGCGAAGGAGCGAUCCGGAGCGAAAUCCUAAAAAGCCGGUCCCGGUUCGGAUUGCAGGCUGAAACUCGCCUACAUGAAGUUGGAGUUGCUAGUAAUCGCGAAUCAGAAUGUCGCGGUGAAUGCGUUCCCGGGUCUU